rnacentral:rRNA from 1 species
GUAACCUACCUUCGAGAUCGGGAUAACUCCGGGAAACCGGGGCUAAUACCGAAUAAUCUGUUGGACCGCAUGGUCCGACAGUAAAAGGCGGCUUCUGCCGUCACUCGAAGAUGGACCCGCGGCGCAUUAGCUAGUUGGUAAGGUAACGGCUUACCAAGGCGACGAUGCGUAGCCGACCUGAGAGGGUGAUCGGCCACACUGGGACUGAGACACGGCCCAGACUCCUACGGGAGGCAGCAGUAGGGAAUCUUCCGCAAUGGACGAAAGUCUGACGGAGCAACGCCGCGUGAACGAUGAAGGUCUUCGGAUCGUAAAGUUCUGUUGUUAGGGAAGAACAAGUACCAGAGGAAAUGCUGGUACCUUGACGGUACCUAACCAGAAAGCCCCGGCUAACUACGUGCCAGCAGCCGCGGUAAUACGUAGGGGGCAAGCGUUGUCCGGAAUUAUUGGGCGUAAAGCGCGCGCAGGCGGUUCCUUAAGUCUGAUGUGAAAGCCCACAGCUCAACUGUGGAGGGCCAUUGGAAACUGGGGAACUUGAGUACAGAAGAGGAG